GUUCGGGAUCCAUUUGGUGGCUUGUUAAGGGAAGUAUCUGAUGAACUUACGCCUGUUUUGUUUUGAUACUUUCAGACUUUUGAAAAGAGUCUUGGAGCCCACUUACUGGAUGUGUGUCAAUCUAUUUCAACUGAUUGGUGCUAGUUCCAGCUACUUAACCAAAGGUUGAACUGAUGAGACGACAUGAAAUCAUGCUGUGGACAGACCAAAAUGAAAGGAGGAGUUAUCGUUUGGAAUUGGUGGUAAUCCUGAAUUAAGAUAUAAUUGAGUCAUGGACCACUGACAAGCUCUCUCCUUUCCUUUAUUAAAGUAAGAUCUCUAAGGCACAACAUUCACCAAACACAUCAGUAUUUGCAUUUGUCUUUAAUUUCAAUAUUUACGUAAGUGGCUACGUCAUUUUAAGGCAACCAUGUUCUUGA